rnacentral:rRNA from 1 species
CAGAGGGGGCAAGCGUUGUUCGGAAUUACUGGGCGUAAAGGGCGCGUGGCGGCCCGCUAAGUCGAACGUGAAAUCCCCGAGCUCAACUCGGGAACUGCGUCCGAUACUGGCGGGCUUGAAUCCGGGAGAGGGAUGCGGAAUUCCAGGUGUAGCGGUGAAAUGCGUAGAUAUCUGGAGGAACACCGGUGGCGAAGGCGGCAUCCUGGACCGGCAUUGACGCUGAGGCGCGAAAGCUAGGGGAGCAAACGGGAUUAGAUACCCCGGUAGUCCUAGCCCUAAACGAUGAAUGCUUGGUGUGGCGGGUACCGAUCCCUGCCGUGCCGAAGCUAACGCAUUAAGCAUUCCGCCUGGGGAGUACGGUCGCAAGGCUG